UACAGAGGGUGCAAGCGUUGUUCGGAAUUACUGGGCGUAAAGCGCGUGUAGGCAGCUCGGUAAGUCGGAUGUGAAAGCCCUGGGCUCAACCUAGGAAGUGCAUUCGAAACUUCCGAGCUGGAGUGCUGGAGAGGAAGGCGGAAUUCUCGGUGUAGAGGUGAAAUUCGUAGAUAUCGAGAGGAACACCAGUGGCGAAGGCGGCCUUCUGGACAGUUACUGACGCUGAGACGCGAAAGCGUGGGGAGCAAACAGG
rnacentral:rRNA from 1 species